rnacentral:rRNA from 1 species
UCGGGAAUUUUGGGCAAUGGGCGAAAGCCUGACCCAGCAACGCCGCGUGAAGGAUGAAGUAUUUCGGUAUGUAAACUUCGUAAGAAUAGGAAGAAUAAAUGACGGUACUAUUUGUAGGGUCCGGCUAACUACGUGCCAGCAGCCGCGGUAAUACGUAGGGACCAAGCGUUGUUCGGAUUUACUGGGCGUAAAGGGCGCGUAGGCGGUGUGUCAAGUCAGUUGUGAAAUCUCCGAGCUUAACUCGGAACGGUCAACUGAUACUGUCACACUAGAGUACAGAAGGGGCAAUCGGAAUUCUUGGUGUAGCGGUGAAAUGCGUAGAUAUCAAGAGGAACACCUGAGGUGAAGACGGGUUGCUGGGCUGACACUGACGCUGAGGCGCGAAAGCCAGGGGAGCAAACGGGAUUAGAUACCCGGGUAGUCCCUGAGCGGGCUGGCAAGGCGCAU